AAUUAAUAUAGUUUGAAGUUUAUUUAUUAUUAGUUUUAAUUUUGUUAUUUAAAAUAAUAAAAAUAUUUUUAGGUUUAAUUAUUAUUAUUGAAUAAAUUUAUGUAAUUAUAGAGGAUUAGUAUUGUUAAAGAAAUUUUAUUAUUUUGUAAAAGAAAAGUUUAAUUAUUGUACCUUGUGUAUCAGGGUUUAUUUAAAAAUUUUUAAAAAUUUAAAUAUCUCGAAUUUAAAAGAGCUAUAAUUUUAUUUUUUUUAUUGUAGAAUAAAUAUUAUAAAUAAGGUUAUAGAGGUGAAACGCUAUUCGAUUUUAAAUAUAUCUAGUUUUUUAAGAAAAAAAUUUAAUUUUAUUUUUAUUUAUUAUGAAAUUUUAUGUUUAAUUUUAUAGUAGUAAGAUUUUAUGGAUUAGGGGAUGAGCUUUAAUUUAGAUUAAUAUAAUUAUGUAUGGUUUUAUUUAUUUAUAAAUAGGAUUAAAAGUUUUUAUUUUUUAUAGUGUUUUAUAGCUAGUUUAUAGUAUUAAUUAAUAUUUUUAUGUAAUUUAUAUUUUUUAUUGAAAUGUGGGUAUUAAUAUAUAAAAUUUAGUAAUAAUGAUAGAAUUAGUAUAAUAAUAAUGUAGGUUUAACUAGAAUCUUGAGAUUAAUUUAAGGAAUUCGGCAAAUGAAAUUUUCACCUGUUUAUUAAAAACAUGGCUUUUUGAUUAUAAUUUAAGGUCGAGCCUGCCCAAUGAUUUAUUUUAAAUGGCCGCGGUAAUUUGACCGUGCAAAGGUAGCAUAAUCAUUAGUUUUUUAAUUGAAAGCUUGUAUGAAAGGUUUAAUGAAAAAUUAACUGUCUCUUAUUAAAUUAUUAGAAUUUUAUUUUUAAGUUAAAAAGCUUAAAUUUUUAUGGAAGACGAGAAGACCCUAUAGAGUUUUAUAUAUAUUAUGAUUAGUAAUUUUUAGCAGUUAGUAUUCUUAUUUUAAUGUAUAAUUAAUUGGGGUGAUUGAAAAAUUUAUUAAACUUUUUUUUUAUAUUUACAUUUAUUUGUGGUUAUAUGAUCCUUAUUUUAAGAUUAUAAGAUAAAAUUACCUUAGGGAUAACAGCGUUAUUUUUUUUUAGAGUUCUAAUCGAGAGAAAAGAUUGCGACCUCGAUGUUGGAUUAAAAUAUAAAUUUGGUGUAGAAGCUAAAUGGAUUAGGUCUGUUCGACCUUUAAAAUUUUACAUGAUCUGAGUUUAAACCGGCGUGAGCCAGGUUGGUUUCUAUCUUCAUAUUUGUAUAAUAUUUUAGUACGAAAGGACCAAAUAUUAGUUUAAUAGGCUAUUAUUAGAAUUUUAUUAAAAUUAAUUAUUUUGGCAGAAUAGUGCGAUAGAUUUAGGAUCUUUUUAUAUAAUU
rnacentral:rRNA from 1 species